AGAGUUUGCUUCUGGCUCAGAACGAACGCUGGCGGCGUGGAUAAGACAUGCAAGUCGAACGAGAGAAUUGCUAGCUUGCUAAUAAUUCUCUAGUGGCGCACGGGUGAGUAACACGUGAGUAACCUGCCCCCGAGAGCGGGAUAGCCCUGGGAAACUGGGAUUAAUACCGCAUAGUAUCGAAAGAUUAAAGCAGCAAUGCGCUUGGGGAUGGGCUCGCGGCCUAUUAGUUAGUUGGUGAGGUAACGGCUCACCAAGGCGAUGACGGGUAGCCGGUCUGAGAGGAUGUCCGGCCACACUGGAACUGAGACACGGUCCAGACACCUACGGGUGGCAGCAGUCGAGAAUCAUUCACAAUGGGGGAAACCCUGAUGGUGUGACGCCGCGUGGGGGAAUGAAGGUCUUCGGAUUGUAAACCCCUGUCAUGUGGGAGCAAAUUAAAAAGAUAGUACCACAAGAGGAAGAGACGGCUAACUCUGUGCCAGCAGCCGCGGUAAUACAGAGGUCUCAAGCGUUGUUCGGAAUCACUGGGCGUAAAGCGUGCGUAGGCUGUUUCGUAAGUCGUGUGUGAAAGGCGCGGGCUCAACCCGCGGACGGCACAUGAUACUGCGAGACUAGAGUAAUGGAGGGGGAACCGGAAUUCUCGGUGUAGCAGUGAAAUGCGUAGAUAUCGAGAGGAACACUCGUGGCGAAGGCGGGUUCCUGGACAUUAACUGACGCUGAGGCACGAAGGCCAGGGGAGCGAAAGGGAUUAGAUACCCCUGUAGUCCUGGCAGUAAACGGUGCACGCUUGGUGUGCGGGGAAUCGACCCCCUGCGUGCCGGAGCUAACGCGUUAAGCGUGCCGCCUGGGGAGUACGGUCGCAAGAUUAAAACUCAAAGAAAUUGACGGGGACCCGCACAAGCGGUGGAGUAUGUGGCUUAAUUCGAUGCAACGCGAAGAACCUUACCUGGGCUUGACAUGUAAUGAACAACAUGUGAAAGCAUGCGACUCUUCGGAGGCGUUACACAGGUGCUGCAUGGCCGUCGUCAGCUCGUGUCGUGAGAUGUUUGGUUAAGUCCAGCAACGAGCGCAACCCCUGUUGCCAGUUACCAGCACGUGAAGGUGGGGACUCUGGCGAGACUGCCCAGAUCAACUGGGAGGAAGGUGGGGACGACGUCAGGUCAGUAUGGCCCUUAUGCCCAGGGCUGCACACGUACUACAAUGCCCAGUACAGAGGGGGCCGAAGCCGCGAGGCGGAGGAAAUCCUGAAAACUGGGCCCAGUUCGGACUGUAGGCUGCAACCCGCCUACACGAAGCCGGAAUCGCUAGUAAUGGCGCAUCAGCUACGGCGCCGUGAAUACGUUCCCGGGUCUUGCACACACCGCCCGUCA
rnacentral:rRNA from 1 species